rnacentral:rRNA from 1 species
GACGAAGGGGGCUAGCGUUGUUCGGAAUUACUGGGCGUAAAGCGCGUGUAGGUGGUUGUCCAAGUUGGAUGUGAAAGCCUUGAGCUCAACUCAAGAAAUGCAUUCAGGACUGGGCGGCUAGAGGACCGGAGAGGAUAGUGGAAUUCCCAGUGUAGUGGUGAAAUACGUAGAGAUUGGGAAGAACACCAGUGGCGAAGGCGGCUAUCUGGACGGUUUCUGACACUAGGACUCGAAAGCGUGGGGAGCAAACAGG